rnacentral:lncRNA from 1 species
GUCUGUCCUAAGGAUGACUCUCUUCCACACCGGCCUGAGCUUAUAUCGUAGAUGCACCGCCCGUCUACUGCAGCCAACCUAGAGUCGUGAAUCGUGAUUCCAGAGAUCACAAGUCUCGUCCCUUCUGUAGUUCUGUGCCUUUUAUCACCGAGGCUAGUCUCAAAGUUCAUCCUGAGUUUGCCCGGGAGUGGCACCUAGACCUUUCAUCCUAUCUCCAUGCGUGCGCGACUGGAUGAGCGG